AGUGAACGCUGGCGGUAGGCCUAACACAUGCAAGUCGAACGGCAGCACAGUAAGAGCUUGCUCUUACGGGUGGCGAGUGGCGGACGGGUGAGGAAUACAUCGGAAUCUACUUUUUCGUGGGGGAUAACGUAGGGAUACUUACGCUAAUACCGCAUACGACCUACGGGUGAAAGCAGGGGAUCUUCGGACCUUGCGCGAUUGAAUGAGCCGAUGUCGGAUUAGCUAGUUGGCGGGGUAAAGGCCCACCAAGGCGACGAUCCGUAGCUGGUCUGAGAGGAUGAUCAGCCACACUGGAACUGAGACACGGUCCAGACUCCUACGGGAGGCAGCAGUGGGGAAUAUUGGACAAUGGGCGAAAGCCUGAUCCAGCCAUGCCGCGUGGGUGAAGAAGGCCUUCGGGUUGUAAAGCCCUUUUGGUGGGGAAGAAAAGCAGCAGGUUAAUACCCCGCUGUUCUGACGUUACCAAAAGAAUAAGCACCGGCUAACUUCGUG
rnacentral:rRNA from 1 species